GAGGGGGUAGCAAAGCCUGGUCAAAUGUGCAGGACUUAAGAUCCUGUGGAUUAUUUCCUUCGUGGGUUCGAAUCCCAUCCCCCUCA
rnacentral:tRNA from 1 species